rnacentral:rRNA from 1 species
UGUCCAGUCGUCACGUAUGACUUUUGUGCUUGCACAGAAUGAUUAGUGGCGAACGGGUGAGUAACACGUGAGUAACCUGCCCCUGACUCUGGGAUAAGCCUGGGAAACUGGGUCUAAUACCGGAUAUGCACCGUGGACCGCAUGGUUCUUGGUGGAAAGAUUUUUUGGUCAGGGAUGGACUCGCGGCCUAUCAGCUUGUUGGUGAGGUAAUGGCUCACCAAGGCGACGACGGGUAGCCGGCCUGAGAGGGUGACCGGCCACACUGGGACUGAGACACGGCCCAGACUCCUACGGGAGGCAGCAGUGGGGAAUAUUGCACAAUGGGCGAAAGCCUGAUGCAGCGACGCCGCGUGAGGGAUGACGGCCUUCGGGUUGUAAACCUCUUUCAGUAGGGAAGAAGCGAAAGUGACGGUACCUGCAGAAGAAGCGCCGGCUAACUACGUGCCAGCAGCCGCGGUAAUACGUAGGGCGCAAGCGUUAUCCGGAAUUAUUGGGCGUAAAGAGCUCGUAGGCGGUUUGUCGCGUCUGCCGUGAAAGUCCGAGGCUCAACCUCGGRAUCUGCGGUGGGUACGGGCAGACUAGAGUGAUGUAGGGGAGACUGGAAAUUCCUGGUGUAGCGGUGAAAUGCGCAGAUAUCAGGAGGAACACCGAUGGCGAAGGCAGGKUCUCUGGGCCAUUACUGACGCUGAAGGA